UACGUAGGGAGCAAGCGUUGUCCGGAUUCACUGGGUGUAAAGGGUGCGCAGGCGGGUUGGCAAGUCAGAGGUGAAAUCUCACGGCUCAACCGUGAAACUGCCUUUGAUACUGCUAAUCUUGAGUUCGGGAGAGGUUGAUGGAAUUCCAGGUGUAGCAGUGAAAUGCGUAGAUAUCUGGAAGAACACCAGUGGCGAAAGCGGCUCUCUGGUCCAAAACUGACGCUGAGGGGCGAAAGCGUGGGGAGCGAACGGG
rnacentral:rRNA from 1 species